UACGUAGGGUGCAAGCGUUAAUCGGAAUUACUGGGCGUAAAGCGUGCGCAGGCGGUUAUGCAAGACAGAUGUGAAAUCCCCGGGCUCAACCUGGGAACUGCAUUUGUGACUGCAUGGCUAGAGUGCGGCAGAGGGGGAUGGAAUUCCGCGUGUAGCAGUGAAAUGCGUAGAGAUCGGAAAGAACACCAACGGCGAAAGCACUCUGCUGGGCCGACACUGACACUGAGAGACGAAAGCUAGGGGAGCGAAUGGG
rnacentral:rRNA from 1 species